AUCUAUCUAGACCAUUCGUCUGGCGGCCGAGCUCCUCCUCCGCCGAGCUCCUCCUCUGCCCGCUCAAGCCUGGCGCGUCCUCGUCCUGGAGCGCGCCGCCGCCGCCGCACCAGCCUCGCACGCACCCUGCCCCCGGCUGAUGCCCGCCCGUUUUUCCCGACGCCUGCGUCAGCUGCCGCCCCUCACCUCCACCUGAGCCGCACCCUGCUCCCGCCCGGCUCGCCCUCGACGGUGCCCGCGGCGCGCCGGCGGCGGCCUCUGCUCCAACCCCAUGGUGCCGAGGCCGAGCCCGCUCGCUCCGCCUCGCCCUUGCCCCCCGCUUGCUGCUCCUCUCCCUGUGGCGACGGCCAUCAUGCUCCGGCCACCUCCCCCGCGGAACCCCGGCCCCCAGCGACGGCGGACCGGUGGGUUGCAGCCGCGCCGGGCUCCACCACGCUUGGCGCCGUCUUCCCGGCUGCUUGCAACUUCAACGCGAUGGAGGCGCUAAGUAAGAUCUCCUUGUCUCCCUCUGCCAGCCUCGCUGCCCAACGGAAGGUGAGCGCACAAGUAGCUCACACAGCAGCUCCAGCUACGGCUCCUGUUCCUGCGCCAUCCCUCCAAGGCCGCAGCGGCCGUAGCUGAGGUUGCCUCCACUGCCUGCAACGUGCUCGACAAAAUGCCCAACCUAUUCUAACGUAUUUUACAGUGGCAUCUGAUAAUCACAAAUGUGCUGGCACUGCACUUCGUAAAUUACAAGCUCCCAUACAUAUAAUAUAGCAACUCUAAUUUAAGCGUAGCGUACCUAUCAUUCAUCACCGUUGGUAUUGGGUACUACUCCCAUGAGAUUCUGGCCCUUCAUGAAGAUAACUUUCUUCUUCUAUCCCUGUCCUGCAAAUAACGUCAACAAAAAAUUAUUUUUGCAAGGCUGGUGUAAGAGAUGGAAUUGUUUAUACUAACUCGUUGAUAGGUAUAUAUUAAAAGAAAAGGGGCAGUUAUUUUGAGAUUUCCUAGGGUAACCACCAGACCAUAUAUGAGCAUGUUCUGCUUCCUCUAUAUGGCCAUUCAUGUUAUGCUAGCAUAUUUCCUCUAAUCACACUAGCCACUCAUAUAUGUUCCAAUGCAUAAGCAGUGUGAACAGCCACGCUGAUAAUUUUUCUGGGCUUCUAUCCUAGAGGUAAUGAUGUUCCUAUUAAUUGCUUAGCUCAGUUUUUUCAUGUGUCAUGUUGCAAUGAAGCUCUGUUCAUCUUGACAGAACAUCGACUUGAAAUCAUGCUUGGUUUUACUUUUCAUUGUAGAAGAACAGAGGGUAGAGUCUAUACGAUUGAAAUGUGCUUUCUGGAAUGAACCAAGAGAAAGUGAGAAACUAUUGCUGAUCAUAUUGCAAUAAACCAAGAGUAAUCAUUCAUGGUUUUACUUUUCACUAUAGAAGGACAGAAAUUCUGUGUCUAGCUUCGCUCGCGCUAAUGGAUGUGCCGUGCCUCCGCGUGUGCCGGCGGUCGCGCAUCGGCUCCGCAUCAUCUGGGUUCCGUGACUACGUUCUUCCGCUCGCCGUGGGGAAACAACGUGAGCAGUGGCGUGGGGCUCGUCGCCGCCUGCCCCAUCGCCUCUGCGGCUGUUGAGGCGCAACAGAAGCUCCCUCCAGUCCACUUCACCGGCAGCUGAGCCAAAGGCAGAGAACAUCACAUUGGGCCAAGAGGUGCUUGGGUGCUGCUGCAAGGCUGCGGCUGCGAGCGCAGGCAAGGCCCAAAGCUGUGCUAUGGCUCCAGGCCAAUGUUCUGCUCCACCUCCUUGGCUGCCUCUGCCACUAAAUCAUCGUGGCCACGGCCCAUGGAGCCACGCGAGCUGCAGAUCGAUGCGACGGUAGUGCCAAGAAAGAGCUCCUACAGUUAAGUGACGGGGUGAGCUUUACGAGCAGCUCGCAUGACUGCAAGUCCACAUUGUGGUGCGAGCACCAGCGGCCACCCUGGAAGUGGCGCAGCGCCAUGGUAAAUCUUGGUGGUGGGAAAGGCAGUGGUGGCGAUUCCCGUCCGUGGAAGCAACGGUGGCCUGGCGAGUGGCGACCCUGGCGGCGCGGCGGCGUCACGGUGGAUCUGCAGCAACUUGGGCACUACCUCCCAUUCUCCUCGCAACGGUCGCCAUGGGGCGCGGCGGAGCCAGAACUUCCCAGCCGGUCCGUGGUGGACCUCAUCCAUCCUGUGGCUGCAAGUCGUCUAGCUAUGAUUAACUACGGGUGUGAUGCUGCUGCACUCUGUGCUUGUGUAAAUGCCCCAACGAAUUUAAAGACCCGCGCAGGCUGAGCAUCACACCCUCUGUUCGUUUUUCUGUGGUUUGUGCAGAUCAGCAGAGGGAGCAAGAAAAUGGUCCAAAUUGAAACUACAGAUGAGAAUAUGAGAUUGAGAUGCUGUGUCAUGCAGGUCUGAGCUUUCCUAUUCAUCCUGCAGGUCUUUUUUUCUCAGAUGCUCAUGACUGCAGUUCUGAUAAAAAUCUUUAGCGUUUUCUUAUUGUGAAGAAUCUGAUUUGCUAGCGACAUGUGCUUAUUGGAUUUCACAAUGGAGAAAAAAAACAUUUCUUUUACAGGUUCUUGAUCUUGCAUGUCAUAGCAGCUGCUAGCAAGGUGUCAGUCUCUGUUUUUCUCUGUUUCUGUUGUGGAGCCUUAAAUUCCUUUGAUUUUUCAGACUUGUAGGAUGAAUAGGCGGAUACAACCAACAGGAGCUUGGGGUUAUCUACCACUAGUACCGCCAAUUAGCUACUGAAAUGUUUUCUUGGAGUACAUAUUCCUACAGAUUUCUCGGUAUUAAGAAAGAUCUGCAGAUUCUUAUAUUAUUUACUGCACCAUCCCUCCAGUGGCCAUAGUCGACGUUACCUCCACUGCCAACAAGGUGUUCGACAAAAUGCCAAGCUCCCAGGCGUAUAGCAUAUUUAAUUUAUAAAGGGACCUAUUUUUCUUCUAUUCCUAUCCUGCAAAUGGCGUCAACAAAAUUUCAUUUUUCAAUCCUUGUGUUAUAGAUUGAUUUCUGGCUUGUUGAGUUAUAUAUGAUACAUAAAGAACAGAAAUGUAAACUAAUUUUGAGAUUUACUUGGGUAACCACUAAGCCAAGAUAUGAGCAUGAUCUGGUUCCUCUGCC